UGGUGGGGGAGAUAGAAUCCAGCUGGGGCUCCCAUUUUGCUGGCUACUCAUUGUAUGACUGGUUGAUUCUGCUAAAUGUGGCACUAAGAAUGGAUCUGUAGAGCUAAAAUGCUACAUGAACAUGCGGCCACCUUCACGGCACAUCUGCAAAUGAGAAGCAUGGUUCUACAUGUCCCUCUAGUCCGAUCGAUGCCCAUAAGGAUCCUCUUUCCAGCAGUCAGUCAUGAGAUGGGGAAGAACCAUGCCAUGAAGAUGCAUGCUGAAAAGUGAGAGCUGGGUACACCCAGCUGCCUUUGACGCCUGUACUACACCAGGAUCUGCUCAUGUGACAAGAGGGACACACACCCACAUGUUUGCAAAUGCUCUGGCGGAGGAUCAGCAUUUCCCAUGGCACCUACUGACAAACAGACACACAAGGGCACUUGACCAUCAUGGCAAACGUUCUUACUGCUUAAGGUCAGGAGCAUCAUGUUCUCUUCUUAUUAGUCAGCAAUUUGUAGAACAGAGAUGUUGUUUUUUCUCCUUUUUGGAUGCUUUGUUUUGCAGCUGCACUAUUGUUUCCCUCUCUCUUCCUUUCUCUAGGAAUCUGAGAAAAACUCCCUUUUACCAGAAUUUGGAGGUGGGGUAUUUUUUCAGGCCCUUCAAUGUGGUACAGUGAUAUUCCCCCAUCUGAAUCCCUACUCAAUAACAAACAACGGGGUUGUGUCAGGGAGACAAGGAGUGCAGGGGCUCCUGGGUGAGCAGGUUCUCUUGGGGUUUGGAUGCAGGAGUGGGAUUACAGCCUUGCUGUGCAUCUGAACUAACAACCCUCUUCUGUUUCCUCUUUUACAGAUCUCAGGGGCAUGGGAGAUGCUGCUGGGGCAGUGGACACAUUGCCAUGGCAACCCCCUCUAGCAUGUACAUGGCUGGAGGUGCCACCUGACUGUCUGCCAGCUGGCCAUUGAUUUUGUCCAUUAUGUUUUUUCAAGUGAAUCACCGUGGGACAAAGCAAACAGAAAAGUGUACAUCUGUUAAAGAAUCUUAUUAAACUGGUUUUCCCCAACCCCCCAGGAGCAACCCUAGCACUUGGCUCUGCCUAGCUCCACCUGCACCCUGUUCAGUGCAGGCCUGAGAGCAUCUGAGGCAACACUUGUCUGGUCUUGGUCCUGGCCCCUUCCAUACAGCCUCCCUGUCACCCCCGCUCUCAUAUUUUGUGAUUGGGGGGAGGGGAGGUGACAGGGAGCCUAUGUGGAAGGGAUUAGGGCCAAGACCAGACAAAUGUUGCCUCAGAUGCUCUCAGACCUGCCCUGAACAGGGGGUAGAUGGGGCUAGGCAGAGCUGAAAGUGCAUGGGCUGGUUUUAGGGAUACAUGCAGCCUGCAGGGAUGUGGCUCAAUAGAUGGCAGAGCCAGAGCUCUGGGCUGUCAAUGCUUUUAGUGAAGUGGGGUAGGAGGAUUGUGGGAGUGCAAUAGCCACUUAUUAACAGUGGUGCUGCACUAUUGCAAGUUUACAUGGAGGUGGGUGCAACCAGAACCAGCUUUCCGUAGAGCUAAAAUGCCUCAUGCAUUGACAAGUUGAAAUAUCUUCAGACACUGUGGGGUUUGACCUGAAAUAAAUCCCUAUACAAGGGCUGCAACUAGAUCUUAGAUAUGAUUCUGAAAUACAAUCAAAGUUUCAACAUAUGAAGCUCUGGCCAAAUGCCAGUUACCAGGCCAACUGGGCAUCCUGCCUUAAUUUUCAAAGUAAACACCUGAUUUUGUUUUAGUUUUGAUAGUUGUUUAAAAAGACUAUUUUGCACGCACCGUUUGCCAGUUCCUGUUUACAGUCCUUGUCAUUUUUUUUUUCCUGGUCUGCUGUUAUGAUUCCUUUCAAGAAUAAAACAGACUCUGCUUGCUUUCUGCUCACUGCCUGAGUUAGAGGGUUACACACAUUUAACAUCUAAAAAGAGGUUUUAAUCAAGCAUUGUGCGAGAAUAAGCUAUUUCCUGAGCAAUUAAGAAGGAUAAACUGGUAAUUUCCAGCUAGAACAGACAAACAGCAACAAUACUGCCAAUGCUGAGUGUGUUAAAAAAACAUGAGUCAAUCCCUCUCCCCCUCCCAUCAUAAGAUUUUUUUUUAAAAUAAUACUUUUAGGAUUCUUUUUAUUUACCUUAUUUUUGAACUUUUAAGUUCACGUUUCUCUGUAACCAUAAGGCCUAGCAAGAUUUUUUUUUAAAACCAAAACCUGAGAUCUUCAUGUAUUCCUGUGGUUCGAUGUUGGGCUUUAAGAAAACCACCAACUAUUGUGGCAAUUGGCAACACUGCAGCCAGCAGCUGCCAAUUGCUAAACUGCCAAUUUAAGGCAAAAUUGUUUAGCUCUGUCCAAUCUAAAGGGCAAGCUAAUGCCAGACAGGCAAGCUGGGCAAAGUUCUAGUAAGAGGCCAUGCUACAAGGGGAGUCAUGCCUUGUCUGUGUCAGAGAUGUUACACUGGUCCCUUCCCUAGCUCAGUAUUGAUUGCAAAGUACCCAGUUUGUCUCCACAGGGCCGGCUCCAGGCACACCAGCAAAGGAAGCAGGUGCCUGGGGUGGCCAAUAUAAAGGGGCGGCACGUCCAGGUCUGCGGGGAUGCACAGAGAUGCAUUGGGAAAUGAGAUCUGCCAUUGCAGUGGCUCUCAGAGCUGACAGCUCCCUCAGCCAGCAGACCUUAUUAGUUAAGCAGCUGUGCAUCCUUAACGAUUGCCCCCCAACCAUUGUGCCACUCAGACACCAUCCCUGAAAUCCUCCAGCACCUGCUCUGCCAUGCUGUAACUGCUGAUCCAGCUGUGCAGUGCUGGCUAAGAUGACAACAUCUGUCCCUCUUCACCCCAGGUUCUGUUCCCUGAUUCCAGCCAUGCCUCUGCUCUGUUAAUGGCAGGCUCCUAAUUCAUUUCUGUGUUUCAGUGAAGCUGCCACUGAAUUUUCAGUCUGCUGCAUUGCUGUGUUGUCACAACCAGGGAGCCUGUGCAGGAUUUAGGCUUGGCUUGCUGAGGAGCAUGUGGACCCUUGUGUGCAAGUGCUAAGCCUUAUUAUUCCAUUUAUUAAUUACUAAGCAAUUAAGUUUUCCUUUACCACAAAGGAUCUAGACUGAGCACCAGGAUCUGAUCCCAAAAUUCCAAAUGUCACCUUGGAUCUCCUGCUUUCCUAUCUGUCUUGAACAGAUGCGAAAUUAUUAAGAAUGGGGCAUGGACUGUAUUUUUGUUCUGCGUUUGUACAGCACUUAGAACCAUGGGGUCCUGGGCCACGUAUAAGACUCCAAGAUGCUAUAAUAACAAAUUAAUAGGCAUGUUUGCAAAUAUGAUCAAAUUGAGGAGUACUUGUGGCACCUUAGAGACUAACAAAUUUAUUUGAGCAUAAGCUUUUGUGGGCUAAAACCCACUUCAUCGGAUGCAUGCAGUGGAAAACACAGUAGGAAGAUAUAUAUACAUAGAGAACAUGAAAAAAUGAGUGCUGCCAUACCAACUAUAAUGAGAGUAAUUAAGGUGGGCCAUUAUCAGCAGGAAAAAAAACUUUUGUAGUAUUUCAAGUAACUCUUAAAGGGACCUCUGCAAAAGAUGCUAUGUUCUUUAAAGAGUAUGCUAAAAAGUUAACAGUCUGCAGCUUGGCGGUGAAAAUGUGAAAAGAAUGAGCCAGAUUUUUCUGCUAAUUUGUUAGUUAAAAACAAAAAGAAAACCUGUCUGAAUUGUAAAUUCAGGAUGUCAGUUCCACAAUGUUUUCCAAAA